rnacentral:rRNA from 1 species
AGCAGCCGCGGUAAUUCCAGCUCCAAUAGCGUAUAUUAAAGUUGUUGCAGUUAAAAAGCUCGUAGUUGAAUUUCGGGGUUAGUAGGUUGGUCAUGCCUCUGGUAUGUACUGGUCUCACUGAUUCCUCCUUCCUGAUGAGCCGUAAUGCCAUUAAUUUGGUGUUGCGGGGAAUUUGGACUGUUACUUUGAAAAAAUUAGAGUGUUUAAAGCAAGCUAACGCUUGAAUACAUUAGCAUGGAAUAAUGAAAUAGGACGUUCGAUCCUAUUUUGUUGGUUUCUAGGAUUGACGUAAUGAUUAAUAGGGAUAGUUGGGGGCAUUAGUAUUCAAUUGUCAGAGGUGAAAUUCUUGGAUUUAUUGAAGACUAACUACUGCGAAAGCAUUUGCCAAGGAUGUUUUCAUUAAUCAAGAACGAAAGUUAGGGGAUCGAAGACGAUCAGAUACCGUCGUAGU